AGUGUCGACAGACUGUUGAUGGAAUCGGAUGCAGACAAAACUUUGACAAACUCUCCCCCUACAACAGUUGUCCCGGUAGCAUCAUCCGCAGCUUCAGUUGCAGGCCCUUCCAAUCCAAAAUUCACUCGUGUUUUAAGGAAGAAAGGUUCCUCUAGCAAACACAAUCCUCCCACAGAGAAGAAAAGGAAACCUUUUAAAUCAUCUGAUAAAGGUAAAACAUAUUAAAUUUUCAACCUUCAUUUAAAUUAAAUUCUUACGGAAUAAAUGACACAAUAACUAUAACUGACAUUUCAACAUUUAUUAUUGAAUACGUGUGUACAUACCCAUAAAUUGGUAUUCCUUAACUUCAGUUUCUACCCAAAGAAGGAGGAAGGAUGGUGUGUGUCAUCCUCCGUCAUAUGUGGAGAAGAACCCCUUCCUGCUGGCAGAAAGAGGGAAACAUCAUCUAUGGUCAAUCCAUACUGCAAAGAUGCGUUCUCCUGGUCGUCUGACGACGACAACGAUUUCCAGUUAUGAUGGAUGGCUCCAUUUCAGAAAGCUUUUUUUCUACAUUAUUAAUAAAUAUCUAUGUUAAGAUACAAAAGAUGUUUUACUUAUCUUUUGUUGAAAUUAUGUUUCAUAUUUGAAACUUAUGCAUUAUUUCCUUACCACUAAUGACGAUGAACAUAGAUUUUGUUAGAGUUAAAUUACAAUUCUUACCUGCCUCCUCGUUUUUCUUCAACCGGAAGAAGUAGGGAUCGUUAAUGCCUGACAAUUUCCGUAACCGGAUAUUGUUAUUGUUUACGGAGAAUGUAGUAGAAUAAAAUCUUUAUCAUUUAUUUCAUAUUUAGUGAAUGAUUAC